GACGAACGCUGGCGGCGUGCUUAACACAUGCAAGUCGAACGGAAAGGCCCUGCUUUUGUGGGGUGCUCGAGUGGCGAACGGGUGAGUAACACGUGAGUAACCUGCCCUUGACUUUGGGAUAACUUCAGGAAACUGGGGCUAAUACCGGAUAGGAGCUCCUGCUGCAUGGUGGGGGUUGGAAAGUUUCGGCGGUUGGGGAUGGACUCGCGGCUUAUCAGCUUGUUGGUGGGGUAGUGGCUUACCAAGGGUUCGACGGGUAGCCGGCCUGAGAGGGGGACCGGGCACAUUGGGACUGAGGUACGGCCCAGACUCCUACGGGAGGCAGCAGUGGAGAAUAUUGCACAAUGGGCGGAAGCCUGAUGCAGCGACGCCGCGAGCGGGAUGACGGCCUUCGGGUUGUAAACCGCUUUCGCCUGUGACGAAGCGGGAGUGACGGUAAUGGAUAAAGAAGCACCGGCUAACUACGUG
rnacentral:rRNA from 1 species